rnacentral:rRNA from 1 species
AUAUUGUGUGUAUGUAUAAUAUAAUUAAAUAUAAUGAUUUAACUGGGGCGGUUAAAAUAAUAACAAUUAUUGAUAGAUAACUAUAGUAGGAGGACGAGUUAAAUAAAUAUAUCCUAAUUGGAAAGCAGUAUAAAUUACCUUAGGGAUAACAGCAUAAUCUUUUUUGAGAGAUCUUAUUGACAGAAAGGUUUGUGACCUCGAUGUUGGAUUUGAAUAACUAUAAGGAGCAGAAUUUUUAUAAGUUGGUUUGUUCAACCAUUAAAUCUCAACAUGAUUUGA